rnacentral:rRNA from 1 species
CCUACGGGAGGCAGCAGUAGGGAAUAUUGCUCAAUGGGGGAAACCCUGAAGCAGCAACGCCGCGUGGAGGAUGAAGGUUUUCGGAUUGUCAACUCCUUUUGUUAGAGAAGAUAAUGACGGUAUCUAACGAAUAAGCACCGGCUAACUCCGUGCCAGCAGCCGCGGUAAUACGGAGGGUGCCAGCGUUACCCGGAAUCACUGGGCGUAAAGAGCGCGUAGGCGGGAUAGCAAGUCAGAUGUGAAAUCCUAUGGUUUAACCAUAGAACUGCAGUUGAAACUGUUAUUCUAGAGUAUGGGAGAGGUAGGUGGAAUUCGUGGUGUAGGGGUAAAAUCCGUAGAGAUCAAGAGGAAUACUCAUUGCGAAGGCGACCUGCUAGAACAUAACUGACGCUGAUGCGCGAAAGCGUGGGGAGCAAACAGGAUUAGAUACCCCAGUAGUC